CAAGGGGGAUCUUGAGGAACUAAACAGUGCCCCACCAAAAUAUCAGAUUACAAACAAACAAAACAAAGCAGGAAAAAUUCCUGAAAGGAAAAAGCUAAAAAAACCCUAGCAAAAAAAAACCAAAAUGUAAUAGACCCCCUACAAAACAAAACAAAACAAAGGAACCAGUUGAUGAGAGCUCUCUAAUGAUCGGGCAGCUACAUAGCUGCAAUUGGGUAACUAGAGAUCUUGUGGAAAGUAAAAGAAAGCCAUAGCUUCAGAGAUAAGGAUCACGAUUUUCGAAACCCACCAGAGAGAAAACAAAUCUAGAACAUGGACAUCCAGGCCAACCAGUCCGCAUUAUUGUGCCUCCGUGAAAUGUCGACCUUCUCAAGCCAAAACAUGAGCUGUUGCAUUCGCGUCUCUCCGCGCAUGAUGAAAGUUAAAGAGUCACAUUUGAUUUGAACUCUCCGAAACCCAAGAUUGAUUGCCAAGACGAUAGCCCAUUCACUGGCUCUGGUCUCAGCGACAAAAGCGUUCACCACCGCGGCAUGUGGGAGAUUAAGAAGAGACUCUGCUUGGAAGGACAACGCCAAGAGUACGCGCCGAGUUGGUGGCGAUGAGGGCUAUUAUACAUACAAUGGAAUUGUGGUAUAGUAUUGGAAUACGCCCUUCUAGUCUGUUUUUGAUAAACUUUCAUUUUGUAAAAUAUAUUUGAUUCGAGUCGGUUGUAAUUAAAUAUAUUUUAAACACAUCCACUGUUUUAUUGUAAUAAGCAUUUAAUUAAAAUGUCACAGUACAUGUUUUAAAGAAA